rnacentral:rRNA from 1 species
UACGAAGGGGGGCUAGCGUUGUUCGGAAUCACUGGGCGUAAAGCGCACGCAGGCGGAUUGAUAAGUCAGGGGUGAAAUCCCGGAGCUCAACUUCGGAAUUGCCUUUGAUACUGUUAAUCUCGAGUCCGGGAGAGGUGAGUGGAAUUCCUAGUGUAGAGGUGAAAUUCGUAGAUAUUAGGAAGAACACCAGUGGCGAAGGCGGCUCACUGGCCCGGUACUGACG